rnacentral:tRNA from 1 species
CGGCGGCGAGCGCGUCGAGGUUCGGCGUGCACGGCGACGGCGUGCCCGGCGGCGAGAGGCCGUAGGCACCGAUCUUGUCGGUGCCGAUGUC